GGGGCAGUUACAGAAACUAACAGCCUGAUGGAAGCUGACUGCAGUCAGUGUUUCUGAUUUAUGAUUAAAACUUAACAUUAGGAACUAGAGGUGAACAAUAGCUGAAUUACUUACUGUAGCAUUUAAUAAUUUCUGUUAAAGGGGAAUCUCAAUAGAUCAGAAUGUCACUCAAUGUUCAUUUAUUCAUUCAAAUCAAUUCAAAGAGAGAUUUUUACACUCGCACAUUAUUUUUGUUCACUAUUACUACCAGCUAAUUUAAACUCAAAACUCAUAAAACAUUCUUAUGAAAUUACAUUUUUACUUAACAAUAA